UAGGCAGAGGCACCAGAAGAGAAGUCAGAAGAGGAAGAUCUCAGAAAUGAAGUGCUCCAGUUCAACACCAACUGCCCAGAGUGCAAUGCCCCAGCUCAGACCAACAUGAAGCUAGUCCAAAUUCCCCACUUUAAAGAGGUUAUCAUCAUGGCCACCAACUGCGAGAAUUGUGGGCAUCGGACUAAUGAGGUGGGUGGGCUCCAUUGUUGGGGAAGAAGAUUGGCACAAGGGAAGUGUGUCUUUGUGGUUACAAGCCUGCCUUAUAGAUGUACUUCAGGAUGGAUGUGGGUGUAGUUGGUCUUUGGGGGGCUUACUGUGAGGAGGAGCCCUUGAGGGAGCUGAGAAUUAUCCUAGAGAGGAAAAGUUGGAAGUACCAUGGAUUGUAAGAUGGAUGAAAAGUUUACCUCGUGGAAGAGGCUUUGACUACUCAGAGGGUUGGGAGUUAGGCAAUUGCAGCUCUUAGUGAAAAACUUAAGAUGGCUGGAAUUGAUUUGAUAGCUGCUGUGGCAGGUUGUAACCCUCCUUCCUCAAGUAUAUCUAGCAUAAGCUGAUUAAACUUAAUUGGGAGGGGCAGUAGACAGCAAA